AGAUUGAACGCUAGCGGGAUGCUUUACACAUGCAAGUCGAACGGCAGCGCGGACUUCGGUCUGGCGGCGAGUGGCGAACGGGUGAGUAAUAUAUCGGAACGUGCCCAGUAGCGGGGGGAUAACGUACGCGAAAGCGUGGCUAAUACCGCAUACGCCCUACGGGGGAAAGGGGGGGAUUCUUCGGAACCUCUCACUAUUGGAGCGGCCGAUAUCAGAUUAGCUAGUUGGUGAGGUAAAGGCUCACCAAGGCGACGAUCUGUAGCUGGUUUAGAGAGGACGACCAGCCACACGUGGACUGAGACACGGCCCAGACUCCAGGGAGCAGCGAGU
rnacentral:rRNA from 1 species